rnacentral:pre_miRNA from 1 species
GUCGGUCCGUCGGUCGGUCAGUCGGUCGGUCGGUCAGUCAGUCGGUCGGUCGGUCGGUCAGUCGGUCAGUCGG